rnacentral:rRNA from 1 species
AUAAAAGCUGGUAGCUAGCUUUUAGCAACUCUGCAACUCUCACAUGGUCGCCAACUGAAGCUAAGGAGGGCUGUGCCCGGUCAGGACCUGGAUGGGAGACCACAUGGGAGAGCUAGGUUGUUUUUCAA